AAAGUCGUAACAAGGUUUCCGUAGGUGAACCUGCGGAAGGAUCAUUACCUAGAGUUGUAGGCUUUGCCUGCUAUCUCUUACCCAUGUCUUUUGAGUACCUUCGUUUCCUCGGUGGGUUCGCCCGCCGAUUGGACAAAACUUAAACCCUUUGUAGUUGCAAUCAGCGUCUGAAAAAACUUAAUAGUUACAACUUUCAACAACGGAUCUCUUGGUUCUGGCAUCGAUGAAGAACGCAGCGAAAUGCGAUAAGUAGUGUGAAUUGCAGAAUUCAGUGAAUCAUCGAAUCUUUGAACGCACAUUGCGCCCCUUGGUAUUCCAUGGGGCAUGCCUGUUCGAGCGUCAUUUGUACCUUCAAGCUCUGCUUGGUGUUGGGUGUUUGUCUCGCCUUUGCGUGUAGACUCGCCUCAAAACAAUUGGCAGCCGGCGUAUUGAUUUCGGAGCGCAGUACAUCUCGCGCUUUGCACUCAUAACGACGACGUCCAAAAAGUACAUUUUUACACUCUUGACCUCGGAUCAGGUAGGGAUACCCGCUGAACUUAAGCAU
rnacentral:rRNA from 1 species